rnacentral:rRNA from 1 species
UAAGGAAUAUUGGACAAUGGACGCAAGUCUGAUCCAGCCAUGCCGCGUGAAGGAUGAAUGCCCUCUGGGUUGUAAACUUCUUUUAUAGGGGAAGAAAAAUACUUUUUUUAAGGUAGUUGACGGUACCCUAUGAAUAAGCACCGGCUAACUCCGUGCCAGCAGCCGCGGUAAUACGGAGGGUGCAAGCGUUAUCCGGAUUUACUGGGUUUAAAGGGUGCGUAGGCGGGCAUGUAAGUCAGUGGUGAAAUACCGGAGCUUAACUUCGGAACUGCCAUUGAUACUAUAUGUCUUGAAUAUUGUGGAGGUAAGCGGAAUAUGUCAUGUAGCGGUGAAAUGCAUAGAUAUGACAUAGAACACCGAUUGCGGAGGCAGCUUGCUACGCAAAUAUUGACGCUGAGGCACGAAAGCGUGGGGAUCAAACA